AUGCAAAAUGUGUAUACACCUUUAGCUUGCAUAGUUCAAUUUAAAGAACUACUCAGUACUGAAAUCAACAUAUGCAUGGCUAAUUUGUUGAUGUUUUUGAUAAAUUAAAUAGCGCAAUCCUAGGUUUUUAUCGAACGUCGCUUCCACACAAAAAGGAAGCGCGCAUGCACUACAACAGCCCGGAAGUUAGCUACUGAAGAAAUCAUUGAUCAAAGUUUACCCGUUUCUCAGCCUCAGUACCGUAGAUGGAGGGGUUCGAUCUCGUGCCUGUAGACGGUGGCAGUCCUAUACACCUGCCCGUGGGGGAGACACUGCUGGGAAGGGGUCCAUUCCUCGGCGGCAGCGACUAAAGAGUCUCCGGACACCACGGCCUUCUUGAGAACCUGAAUGGGCAGCUGCGCAUCAAACCUAAACAGUCAAGCUCUUCAAGAUGAAGACGAGGUUGUUAUUAAGUCUCCUACUGCCUCUCCUGAACCAAGCGACGAACCCGCUUACCCCACUCGACAGGGCAAGGGGUGGACACCAAGCUCCCAUGUACAAGAAUCUAGACUGGAGGUAGUGUGGACCAGAAGGAGCCAGAUGAACAGCUAUCCAACGCACCUACCUCAAACCAGGUCAGGAAAUCUGUAGUGUUAGCAAAAGUUUUAUCUUGAGAUGUAACCUACUGUUGGCAAUUUUCCUGGGAUCCCACUGCUGACACCAAUUACGCUUCAUAUUCCACUUCUGACACCAUUUACCCUUGUAAUCCCUUACCUAGCACCAUUUACCAUUGGAAUCCCACUUGUAACAGCAAUUCGCUUUGGGAUCCCACUUUGGACACCAAUUUCCCAGGGAUUCCCAUUCGUGACUCCAAUGAAUAUGUGUAUUUAUAUAUGUUUCCUGUGAAUGUGGUGGUACCAAUAAACCCGGUUUGCGUUGAGGUUGUGUACUCACAGACGGAAGCUGGGGUAGCUGAAGCAGAAAAUGACAAGAACGAGCAGAAACUCGAACCAAAGAAAAGAGUGUUACCUGCUUGGAUGACGGUACCCGUUGCAGCUCCCAAGAACCCCACCACCACCAAAGGAGCUGGAAAUCGAGGCAGAGGAACCGCAACCCCAACCACAAGCACCAACCAGGGCACUGCCAAACGGGCCAGGGACGCAGCGCCCUUGUCAGGGGAGGAGGAAUCUGAACACAGCGAGCCGGAGCCAAUGCCCAGGAAGAGGGUUAGGAGGAAGAGUGAUGAGGACGAUGUGGUCCAGUCUAAAACAGCAUUUAAAGCCAGGCAGCCGGUGAAGCCUAGUAGAGGAGAGCGAGGAGUCGGACCACUCUGACGUGGAGGAUGAUGAAGAGAAGAGGAGAAGAAGCUUCCACAGUGAAAGACAGCAGCACUUCUACGAGCAGAGCGGAGGUCAGCGAGUCCGAGGACAGAGGGAGACAGCCUCAGAACGGUCAGAAGGUCGGCAAGGGGCCUCAGGGGUCAAGUGAAGUUUCAGGCCCCGCCCAGUCCAAAGCUUGGCUCAGGACGACCUGCCCCUUUGGAAAGGACUGUUACAGCGAAAAAGCCGGUAUCAUACAACAACGAUGAUGAUGAUGAGUUUGGGGACGAUGAAAGCUUCCUCAAUGAUGAGAGCGAGGACAUUGGUGAAGACUCUGACUAUGAGCCACCUGACUCAGACGACAGUGGCAAGGAGGACCUCAAAAGACUCAAGAAAGAAGCCAAGGCCUUCACAAAACUGAAAUGAACUAUUGGCUAAUCUCCCCUUGCCUGUUUUAAACUAAGCAUGCUAUUUAAGCAGGGUUGAAGUGCAUUUGGGUAUACCCUUUUUCCUCUUUAAACACACUUGGAAUCCAGCAGGUCUAGAAUCUCAAAUAAUAUUAGUCUCCCUGUGCUGGGAAAUAGUCAGCAAUUUACCCCGUCAGUUGGGAAUAAUCAAUAAUGGGGUUCUUGACUGAUUUAAAUUGUUUGUGUAUGAUGAUGUCAUAUUGCUGACUUUACCUUUUUUUAAGUAAUUUAAUUUAUGUGUAAUAGUUUCUUGGAUAGUAAUUCAUCACUAGCAUUUGAGGUGUAGGUAUUCUUGAUUAUUGGUUUGUUUGAUUAGUAUGGACAAGCAGUAAAAAAAAAAUAUAUAUACUUCCUUUAAAAAUCAUUGAUCCGUGCCUUCAGAAAGUUUUCACACCCCUUGAUUCUUUCACAUUUUGUAGUUAUAAAGUACAAUUAAAUUGUCAUUUUUUGGGUCAACUAUCUACACGAAAUGUUUUGUAAUUUCAAAGAAAAAUGCUAGAUGUAGUAUUUAUUAAGGAAAGUAAUCAUUAAAUGUUAAACACCUUUGGGUGUGAAUUGUUUUGGGUAAGUCUCUAAGAGCUUUGCACACCAGUAUUGUGCAAUAUUUGCCCAUUAUUCUUAAAAAACUUA